rnacentral:rRNA from 1 species
GGGGACCAUCCUCCAAGGCUAAAUACUCCUGACUGACCGAUAGUGAACCAGUACCGUGAGGGAAAGGCGAAAAGAACCCCGGCGAGGGGAGUGAAAAAGAACCUGAAACCGUGUACGUACAAGCAGUGGGAGCACCCUUUGGGGUGUGACUGCGUACCUUUUGUAUAAUGGGUCAGCGACUUAUAUUCUGUAGCAAGGUUAACCGAAUAGGGGAGCCGGAGGGAAACCGAGUCUUAACCGGGCGUUAAGUUGCAGGGUAUAGACCCGAAACCCGGUGAUCUAGCCAUGGGCAGGUUGAAGGUUGGGUAACACUAACUGGAGGACCGAACCGACUAAUGUUGAAAAAUUAGCGGAUGACCUGUGGCUGGGGGUGAAAGGCCAAUCAAACCGGGAGAUAGCUGGUUCUCCCCGAAAGCUAUUUAGGUAGCGCCUCGUGAAUUCAUCUCCGGGGGUAGAGCACUGUUUCGGCUAGGGGGCCAUCCCGGCUUACCAACCCGAUGCAAACUGCGAAUACCGGAGAAUGUUAUCACGGGAGACACACGGCGGGUGCUAACGUCCGUCGUGAAGAGGGAAACAACCCAGACCGCCAGCUAAGGUCCCAAAGUCAUGGUUAAGUGGGAAACGAUGUGGGAAGGCCCAGACAGCCAGGAUGUUGGCUUAGAAGCAGCCAUCAUUUAAAGAAAGCGUAAUAGCUCACUGGUCGAGUCGGCCUGCGCGGAAGAUGUAACGGGGCUAAACCAUGCACCGAAGCUGCGGCAGCGACGCUGAUGCGUUGUUGGGUAGGGGAGCGUUCUGUAAGCCUGCGAAGGUGGCCUGUGAGGGUUGCUGGAGGUAUCAGAAGUGCGAAUGCUGACAUAAGUAACGAUAAAGCGGGUGAAAAGCCCGCUCGCCGGAAGACCAAGGGUUCCUGUCCAACGUUAAUCGGGGCAGGGUGAGUCGACCCCUAAGGCGAGGCCGAAAGGCGUAGUCGAUGGGAAACGGGUUAAUAUUCCCGUACUUGGUGUUACUGCGAAGGGGGGACGGAGAAGGCUAUGUUGGCCGGGCGACGGUUGUCCCGGUUUAAGCGUGUAGGUGUGUGUUCCAGGUAAAUCCGGUU